GAUGAACGCUGACAGAAUGCUUAACACAUGCAAGUCAACUUGAACUUCGGUUUGGGUGGCGGACGGGUGAGUAACGCGUACAGAACUUGCCUCACAGAUAGGGACAACAUUUGGAAACGAAUGCUAAUACCUGAUAUUAUGAUUAUAUGGCAUCGUAUAAUUAUGAAAGCUAUAUGCGCUGUGAGAGAGCUUUGCGUCCCAUUAGCUAGUUGGAGAGGUAACGGCUCACCAAGGCGAUGAUGGGUAGCCGGCCUGAGAGGGUGAUCGGCCACAAGGGGACUGAGACCCGGCCCUUACUCCUACGGGAGGCAGCAGUGGGGAAUAUUGGACAAUGGACCAAGAGUCUGAUCCAGCAAUUCUGUGUGCACGAUGAAGUUUUUCGGAAUGUAAAGUGCUUUCAGUUGGGAAGAAAAAAAUGACGGUACCAACAGAAGAAGUGACGGCUAAAUACGU
rnacentral:rRNA from 1 species